rnacentral:lncRNA from 1 species
GAAGGCGGCCAUGAGUCCGUUGCAGGCCCGCCACAGCGCUGGCGCCAUGGCUCGGAGAACACGGCGCGGGGCGGUGAGUCCUGCCACGUGCGGGGCGGCCCCUAAGGUAAAAGCCUUGCUCCAAGUCCCCUUCUGACUUCUAGUCACUUCCGUGCUGCCAGCAGAGGGCGUGGGAUUCUUCCUGAGGAGCCUGAGUCUCAGCUUUGCCAGGUCCUUGCUGUGUGACCUUGGGCACCUGUGCUCCCUUGACAAAGAGGAAUAAAACCUCUUCAGACUACUCUCCUAUCGAUUCUCUCCUGGAACAUAUGACCACCAUCAAUUAUAGGCAAGAACAUGAACACGGGAGUCCCAAAGACUUGGGUUCAAAUGUCAGCCCCUUCACUCGCUGGCUGUAGGUGUGAGGCCCUGGCUCCUGUGGGGCUAUUGCAGAGGAGAAACUUCUGGAACAGAGAGCUCCUUGUCCAGGGAUGCUGCAUCUGGGUGAGCUGCUCCUUGGAUAUGGUGCAAGUGUGGCCAGGGUGUGGUGUGGAAGGAGCAGAAGUCUUCAGGACUGAAUCUGGAUGGACCACUGUGAC